rnacentral:rRNA from 1 species
UGCCCUAAAGUCUGGGAUACCACUUGGAAACAGGUGCUAAUACCGGAUAACAACAAUAGCUGCAUGGCUAUUGCUUAAAAGGCGGCGAAAGCUGUCGCUAAAGGAUGGACCCGCGGUGCAUUAGCUAGUUGGUAAGGUAAUGGCUUACCAAGGCGACGAUGCAUAGCCGAGUUGAGAGACUGAUCGGCCACAUUGGGACUGAGACACGGCCCAAACUCCUACGGGAGGCAGCAGUAGGGAAUCUUCCACAAUGGGCGAAAGCCUGAUGGAGCAACGCCGCGUGAGUGAAGAAGGUUUUCGGAUCGUAAAGCUCUGUUGUUGGUGAAGAAGGAUAGAGGUAGUAACUGGCCCCUAUUUGACGGUAAUCAACCAGAAAGUCACGGCUAACUACGUGCCAGCAGCCGCGGUAAUACGUAGGUGGCAAGCGUUGUCCGGAUUUAUUGGGCGUAAAGCGAGCGCAGGCGGAAAGAUAAGUCUGAUGUGAAAGCCCCCGGCUUAACCGAGGAAUUGCAUCGGAAACUGUGUUUCUUGAGUGCAGAAGAGGAGAGUGGAACUCCAUGUGUAGCGGUGGAAUGCGUAGAUAUAUGGAAGAACACCAGUGGCGAAGGCGGCUCUCUGGUCUGUAACUGACGCUGAGGCUCGAAAGCAUGGGUAGCGAACAGGAUUAGAUACCCUGGUAGUCCAUGCCGUAAACGAUGAGUGCUAAGUGUUG